rnacentral:rRNA from 1 species
UACGUAGGUGGCAAGCGUUGUCCGGAAUUACUGGGCGUAAAGCGCACGUAGGCGGAUAUUUAAGUCAGGGGUGAAAUCCCAGAGCUCAACUCUGGAACUGCCUUUGAUACUGGGUAUCUGGAGUAUGGAAGAGGUGAGUGGAAUUCCGAGUGUAGAGGUGAAAUUCGUAGAUAUUCGGAGGAACACCAGUGGCGAAGGCGGCUCACUGGUCCAUUACUGACGCUGAGGUGCGAAAGCGUGGGGAGCAAACAGG